AAUAAACGCUGGCGGCGUGCCUAACACAUGCAAGUCGAGCGAGAAAGCUCCUUCGGGAGUUAGUAAAGCGGCGAACGGGUGAGCAACACGUCGAGAAUCUACCCUUUAGUGAAGAAUACCCUCGAGAAAUCGAGGCUAAUACUGCAUACGUCCCUUCGGGGAGAAAGAUGGCCUCUUUGCUAUCGCUAAAGGAUGAGCUUGCGUACUAUUAGCUAGUUGGCGGGGUAAAGGCCCACCAAGGCAAUGAUGGUUAACCGGCCUGAGAGGGUGUACGGUCACACUGGAACUUAGACACGGUCCAGACUCCUACGGGAGGCAGCAGUGAGGAAUCUUGCGCAAUGGGCGAAAGCCUGACGCAGCGACGCCGCGUGGAGGAUGACGGUUUUCGGAUUGUAAACUCCUGUUAAGCGGGAAGAAAGCCUUGUUUCUAAUACAAGCAAGGUAUGACGGUACCGCUAGAGAAAGCACCGGCUAACUUCGUGCCAGCAGCCGCGGUAAUGUCGUC
rnacentral:rRNA from 1 species